GGGAUCUAGCUCAGCGGCAGAGCGUCCGCUUUGCAUGCGGAAGGUCAUCGGUUCGAACCCGAUGUUCU
rnacentral:tRNA from 1 species